rnacentral:rRNA from 1 species
AUGAACGCUGGCGGCGUGCCUAAUACAUGCAAGUCGAGCGAACGGACGAGAAGCUUGCUUCUCUGAUGUUAGCGGCGGACGGGUGAGUAACACGUGGAUAACCUACCUAUAAGACUGGGAUAACUUCGGGAAACCGGAGCUAAUACCGGAUAAUAUUUUGAACCGCAUGGUUCAAAAGUGAAAGACGGUCUUGCUGUCACUUAUAGAUGGAUCCGCGCUGCAUUAGCUAGUUGGUAAGGUAACGGCUUACCAAGGCAACGAUGCAUAGCCGACCUGAGAGGGUGAUCGGCCACACUGGAACUGAGACACGGUCCAGACUCCUACGGGAGGCAGCAGUAGGGAAUCUUCUGCAAUGGGCGAAAGCCUGACGGAGCAACGCCGCGUGAGUGAUGAAGGUCUUCGGAUCGUAAAACUCUGUUAUUAGGGAAGAACAUAUGUGUAAGUAACUGUGCACAUCUUGACGGUACCUAAUCAGAAAGCCACGGCUAACUACGUG